AUUGCACUUAAAUGAGCGUGAUCUAAAAACUCUUACUAACAUCCAAAUAAUCAGUGAGUAUGUUCUUCUUCUUCUCUCUAGUUCUUGACUAAAACAGCUUUUAUACACAAGGGGAGGAGCCGGCCGUCCCGUCCAUGUAAACACGGCUCUGACAACAACACAGCCAGCGGGACUCGAGCUUCUCCCUCAGUGUAGACAGUCAGGACUCAGAGACACAUUUACACAGGACAGACUGGAUCUCUGCUGGAUUUAUAUGUAACAUGUCGCACAUUCUUCCUUUAACAUUUAAAAGCUGGGAUGAAGAAUUUGAUGUUUUAUUGAAUGGACACUUGACACAGCUGAUCAUUCAGACGUCCUAAAUGUUGUAUAAACUAUUUAAAUAUAUAAAAAGGCCUUCUCUUUUAAAACACAAAUGUACUGUAAAUAUGCUCAUGAGUCGGUUGGGUUUCCUCCAUGUGCAGCCGGUCAUAACAUCCGAGGGCUGCAUGUGGAGGAAGGAACAUCCUUUACUGGGUUGCAUGAAAGUUUGCAGGUGAAAAUGUUCAAAGUGUGACGUCUGAAUCUGCAGUGUUUUCAUAUUUCACGUUCCUGCUGCAAAGGAAGAAUCCUCCACAGACUCUUCCUCCUGUCAGCUGGAGACUCUGAUGAUGACGUUUUCUCUGAUAUGUAAAACUGACUGGACCAGCAUGCUUCACUCUCAGACUGUGAGGAAAUGUUCAGGCUCUUCAUCUGCAGUUGAGGAAGAAGAAGAAGUGACUGUUGGGACACAAAGCAGCUGACGUCUUUUCAGCUGACGUUUCAUCCUCUCACAGGUGCUUCAUGCUUUUUGUACUGUAACAACUUCUGUCUCAUUUUAAUGUUUUCUGUAGCAUCAGUGCCUGGGGAUCAUUUUCACUCUCGCUCCUUAUCCGACAGAAAUGAUGACGCUGCAUAAAACAAGCUGUCCUUUAAAUGCUGUUAACAGAUUUAAGUGUUCAGCUCUUGUUUGGGUCAAAAGCAGAUUCAACGACUUUAGUGUCAAUUUCUUAUUUCCUAUAACAACUGAAGUUAGUAAAACAAAAAGGUUUAGCACAAAAGAAUAAUUCCACGGCCUCCCAACUUGUUGUGCUAACAAAUCUUUGCUCCAACAACUCACAUGGUUUGCUUUCUUGACGUGGUUGCAGCAGAAUAAGAGAAGGCGACUGGAUCAUUAUCAUCCAAACAGAUGUUUCAAGAUUACACACGUAUAAGGAUUCUGACUUCUGUAAACUGUGCUCUCUUAGUACAAAAAGUCCAACAUUAAAUAUUAAACAAAGACUAAUCUGUACAAAUCUGAGAAGGACGAGGCGAUUAUGUCACGCACCCCAUGUACAGAGGCUAUAAUCCUUGACGCUGCAGUCGUGGGUUGGAAUCCGACCUCGGCCCUUUGCUGCAUGACAUACCCCGACUCUCUCCUCCCAACAUCUCCGCUCUCUCAUCAGCUGUCCUCUCUAAUAAGUACAGUGCAGUGGUGAGGAGUGCAGAAGAUGCUACCAGUCGAAAGGUCAAUAUUUGAUGCUCAACUGACUUAAAGUCUUAAAGUCGGAGACACCUCGCCGUGUUUGUCAGCAUCUCUCUGACCUUCAGUCAUAACAGCAGACUGUAAUGUGACUCACUACAACCAGAAACACUUUCAUUCCCUCUGCUGCUUCUUCAGUGCCUUCUAAUAUUCAGUUUGGUUUAUGACAUUUCCAUCGCUUGCUCUUGAUAUUCAGUUUAAUUCCAAUGUGUUUGAAGGUUGUUAAAGUUAAAACUUUCUGUUCCUGUGAGGACUUUGCAUCCACCUGUUGAACAAACAAAACAGGGGCAAUGAAUAUAAUGGCCACAAGAGGGCGACAGAUACAGACACCCCCAAAAACGUUCUUAAUACACAAUUUAAA